rnacentral:rRNA from 1 species
CUACGGGAGGCAGCAGUGAGGAAUAUUGCACAAUGGGGGGAACCCUGAUGCAGCAACGCCGCGUGGAGGAUGACGCAUUUCGGUGUGUAAACUCCUUUUAUAUGUCAAGAAAAUGACGGUAGCAUAUGAAUAAGCACCGGCUAACUCCGUGCCAGCAGCCGCGGUAAUACGGAGGGUGCAAGCGUUACUCGGAAUCACUGGGCGUAAAGGACGCGUAGGCGGGUUGGAAAGUCAGGUGUGAAAUCCUACAGCUUAACUGUAGAACUGCACUUGAAACUUCUAAUCUAGAGUAUGGGAGGGGGAGAUGGAAUUAGUGGUGUAGGGGUAAAAUCCGUAGAUAUCACUAGGAAUACCUAAAGCGAAGGCGAUCUCCUGGAACAUUACUGACGCUAAGGCGUGAAAGCGUGGGGAGCAAACAGGAUUAGAUACCCCCGUAGUC